CCCAGUUUGGGAACUGGCUGGGGCGAGUGAGAAAGAAAGAGAGCCGGGGCGUGCUGAACACGUUUCACAUCACCUCAGAGCUGUGGAAUUUCCUCUCUUCUGGGGGGAGGCCUGUGAAGAUGCAGUUGGUUUAAGGUUUAUGACAUUUGGGAAUAGGAACUACUAUUUGAACUGGCCCUUCUGGAUUUCUUAGUGGCUUCCUAAGAACAGGUGAUCAUCCCUGUUACGUAGAUGAAGAAAGCCAAGGCUCAGAAAUGUCCAAACCUGCAUAUUCCCAUAGUUUAUAACGGGUAAAUUCCUACGGUGACUGAAAUCUAACUGGAGACCAGGCUUCAUUUCUUAUAUCACCUUAGUAUCACCGCCCUGCAUUACGUCUCCAGCAGGCCUGAAGCUGCGGCUGUGGCCCAUUAAGUUCACUUGGACGUAAGAGGUGCCAAAGAGAUGGAGGUCACUGGCUUUAUCCCUGUGAGGACCCAAUAUCUUUGUCCUAUUCCAAGACCACAGACUCUACGUACCCUCGAAUUUGAUGAAAACUCGGAAUUAAGGAGAAAAACCAGGAUCGUCUGUGUCUUUCAUGACUACUGGACAAAAGUAGAAAGUAAUCAGUUAUCAUUUUGUUCCUCUGAGCUUCCUAGGAGCUAAAGAGAAUGCAAGCCCACCAAAUUGUCAGUGUUGAUAAAGUACGUUACACAAAUCGAUUUGCACACAUUUCCUAAAGCAGCAGUUUGGGCACUAUCCUGCAACUGAAUUCUGUAGUUUGGGGAGUAAAUGAUCUUUUGGCCACCCUGAGUCAUGCUCCCUGUGGCAUCUCCAGCUGGUCAGCAGGUCACACAAGGUACUUACUGAACACCCAUAUGGGCGAGUUAGAUCUGGGAUUGUGUUGGACACUGAGAAUUCCAAAGCUAAUAAUGGGGUUAGAAGUUAAUAUUCUAACUCUGGAGACCAACGUAGAAGCAAGCCAUUCUACAAUGUGAGACAUGCCAUCAGAGAGCUAUAGUCCCUUAAUGGAAGGAAGAAUUCGUUCUGCUGGGCUG